rnacentral:rRNA from 1 species
UGGGGAAUAUUGCGCAAUGGGCGAAAGCCUGACGCAGCAACGCCGCGUGAGUGAUGAAGGCCUUCGGGUCGUAAAGCUCUGUCGGAGGGAACGAAUGCUCCUGAAGUUAACAGCUUCAGGAUGUGACGGUACCCUCAAAGGAAGCACCGGCUAACUACGUGCCAGCAGCCGCGGUAAUACGUAGGGUGCAAGCGUUGCUCGGAAUCAUUGGGCGUAAAGAGCGUGUAGGUGGCUAGAUAAGUCAGAUGUGAAAUCCCUCGGCUCAACCGAGGAAGUGCAUUUGAAACUAUUUAGCUCGAGGAUGGCAGAGGAAGGUGGAAUUCCUAGUGUAGAGGUGAAAUUCGUAAAUAUUAGGAGGAAUACCGGUGGCGAAGGCGGCCUUCUGGACCAUUCCUGACACUGAGACGCGAAAGCGUGGGUAGCAAACAGGAUUAGAUACCCCAGUAGUCCCUGAGCGGGCUGGCAAGGCGCAU